UAUGCUGCUUCUGAACAAAAUUCCGUUUGGGAAAAACCUGCAUAAUUGAUUUUAAAUAAUAUAAAUCCAUUCUUGGUUUGUACUGUUUGUAAAUAAAAAUUCUGAGAAGCAGGCCUGAUUGGGCUCUGAUGCAUUCAUGGGAGCCAUAAGUACAUAGAAGGAAAAGGUCUUUGCAUGAUAUACUUGUGUUUUGCCAAGCACGUAGUUAUGUGGGUUUCCAAUGACGAGAAAUUUUGAGUUCCAUUGUAGAAUUAUGGUUAUCAGGUAUCAAAUAACGACCUCCACAGGACCAGACCAAGACAAGGAUGACCUUCUCCAAUCUAGCAUCAUCAGGGACGACAUCUUCCAGUCCAGUAUUCCAAGGAAAAGUACACCAUCCAUCCUGCACAUCAAAGACAAAGGAGGUCAGAGAAAGGGUCCAUUGGAGAAGCAGACAGUUUCAGAAGAGUUAACUAAAGUUAGCUUCUCAGCAGCAUCAAAUUGAGCAUCAACCAAGUGUCAGACAAGGUGGCGUCCCAAUCAUCACUCCUCCAGUCGGGUUGGUCCACUUCAGCAUGUCUAGAUUCAAUGUACCUGAUUCAUCAAGAGAUGGCACUAACUUCGAUGUACCUACCCCGACUAUCCAUUGGUCGAAUAUUCCAGAGAAGACAUGUGUCCAAAUAAUGCAAUUAUUUCAUUGGUCAGAAUUAAGUUUGUUGUAACAAACCCUAAUUAGGGUUUUCAUUGUAAAAUCUCGGCCAUUGAUCUCAAGUUGAUUUGAGCCAUUGAAUUGUAUUGAGGGCACUAUAUAAGCCCUGGCUCUUCAUUUGUAAAGGCUAAUGAUAGUUAGUCAGUAGUUAGAAGGUGAAUAGUUCGCUAAUAGUGGAUAGUCAGCAAAUAGUAUAGCAAUUAGAGUAGAAUAGAAAGAGAAGGCAAAGAUUGUUGCCAA